GGUGGGGUAAAAGCCUACCAAGGCUGCGAUGGGUAGCCGGCCUGAGAGGGUGAGCGGCCACACUGGGACUGAGAUACGGCCCAGACUCCUACGGGAGGCAGCAGUUAAGAAUCUUGCGCAAUGGGCGAAAGCCUGACGCAGCGACGCCGCGUGGAGGAUGAAGGUUUUCGGAUCGUAAACUCCAGUAAGCAGGGAAGAAUAAGCAACGGGUAAUAUUCGUUGUGAUGACGGUACCUGCCUAAAGCCCCGGCUAACUACGUGCCAGCAGCCGCGGUAAUACGUAUGGGGCAAGCGUUGUUCGGAAUUAUUGGGCGUAAAGGGCGUGUAGGCGGGGGACUAAGUCAGAUGUGAAAGCCAUAGGCUUAACCUGUGAACUGCAUUUGAAACUAGUUCUCUAGAGUUCGGGAGAGGAGAGCGGAAUUCCCGGUGUAGCGGUGAAAUGCGUAGAUAUCGGGAAGAACACCAGUGGCGAAGGCGGCUCUCUGGCCUAGAACCGACGCUAAGGCGCGAAAGCGUGGGGAGCGAACG
rnacentral:rRNA from 1 species